rnacentral:lncRNA from 1 species
UUACCUGAUCAAUUUGAAAGAUUGAGUCUUGAAUUGGAUUGCUUAGCGGCUUGGUUUAGUCUAUGCCAAUUAGAUCGAUCAUAUGAUGACUGAUUAGAUGAGACCUAAACCUAAAUCUUUUCACAAAUAUUAAGUCUAUUGGUCUUCCAUUGUUAUAGAAGUGCGGGCAUGCUACCAGCAUUGAUUAUUCUUAUUUGAUUACAGUGGUUCAGUUGCAUCGGGAACACGCAACCACUCUAUUCGCAAAGAGUUUCUCCAAGGUAAGGAUGGAGUUGGGCCCAAUAACUGUUAGGUGAGGGACCCAAUGAUGGCCAUGCAUCUGCUUGUGAAUGGUGGGUCAGGCUUAACUAAGGAGUGUGGGCAAUAACUGUUAGGUGAGCCCACUUGAAUUAGAGAUCAAGUCGCUGCAAUAUACUUAGAGAAGCAUCUAGACAAAGAGUUGCCUAUGCAUCAGUGUGCAUGUUACCAAUAACUAUUAGGUGAGGUGCAUGGCAUUGGUGGGACCACAGCACCCGCUAGAAUCUUUUGUCAUGUUAGGGUUUUCAUUUUCUUCUCGAAAAGUGGAGAGAUCUAAAAAAUUAGUGAGAGUCAUUGUUUGUAUCUUAAAGUCCUUAGAAGCAAAUAUAAAUUAUUUACAAAAGUC